rnacentral:rRNA from 1 species
GGGUGAGUAACGCGUGGGAAUAUGCCCUUCUCUAAGGAAUAGCCUCGGGAAACUGAGAGUAAUACCUUAUACGCCCUUCGGGGGAAAGAUUUACCGGAGAAGGAUUAGCCCGCGUUAGAUUAGGUAGUUGGUGGGGUAAUGGCCUACCAAGCCUACGAUCUAUAGCUGGUUUGAGAGGAUGAUCAGCCACACUGGGACUGAGACACGGCCCAGACUCCUACGGGAGGCAGCAGUAGGGAAUCUUAGACAAUGGGGGAAACCCUGAUCUAGCCAUGCCGCGUGUGUGAUGAAGGCCUUAGGGUCGUAAAGCACUUUCGCCAGAGAUGAUAAUGACAGUAUCUGGUAAAGAAACCCCGGCUAACUCCGUGCCAGCAGCCGCGGUAAUACGGAGGGGGUUAGCGUUGUUCGGAAUUACUGGGCGUAAAGCGCACGUAGGCGGAUUAGUAAGUUAGAGGUGAAAUCCCCGGGCUCAACCUGGGAACUGCAUCCAAAACUGAUUCACUAGAGUACGAUAGAGGGAGGUAGAAUUCACAGUGUAGCGGUGGAAUGCGUAGAUAUUGUGAAGAAUACCAAUGGCGAAGGCAGCCUCCUGGAUCUGUACUGACACUGAGGUGCGAAAGCGUGGGUAGCGAACAGGAUUAGAUACCCUGGUAGUCCACGCCGUAAACGAUGUCAACUAUCUGUUGGAAAGCAUUGCUUUU